GAUGAACGCUGGCGGCGUGCCUAAUACAUGCAAGUCGAGCGAACGGACGAGAAGCUUGCUUCUCUGAUGUUAGCGGCGGACGGGUGAGUAACACGUGGAUAACCUACCUAUAAGACUGGGAUAACUUCGGGAAACCGUAGCUAAUACCGGAUAAUAUUUUGAACCGCAUGGUUCAAAAGUGAAAGACGGUCUUGCUGUCACUUAUAGAUGGAUCCGCGCUGCAUUAGAUAGUUGGUAAGGUAACGGCUUACCAAGGCAACGAUGCAUAGCCGACCUGAGAGGGUGAUCGGCCACACUGGAACUGAGACACGGUCCAGACUCCUACGGGAGGCAGCAGUAGGGAAUCUUCCGCAAAGGGCGAAAGCCUGACGGAGCAACGCCGCGUGAGUGAUGAAGGUCUUCGGAUCGUAAAACUCUGUUAUUAGGGAAGAACAUAUGUGUAAGUAACUGUGCACAUCUUGACGGUACCUAAUCAGAAAGCCACGGCUAACUACGUG
rnacentral:rRNA from 1 species